UAUCACCUUGAGUCUGCGGUGGGAAACCUGUGUGUUGUGCUGCCUCUCGUGCUGGAACGGCUUCUCUGCGUGACGAGCGCUGGUCAUCCGGGGGGAUUUAUCGGAC